UGAGAAGAAGAAGAAAGGAAGAAAGUUUUCUUUUCUUUACAAAUUGGUCCUUUUUAACAAAAAUCCACCAUUUUCACCUAGAAAUCAAAAGAAUUUCCAUAGCUUCCAAGAGAGAAAACUAUUAAGGAGACAAUGAGGAGCUAGAAUAUCAAGUUAGAUUCAAGAAAUAGAAGCUGGAGGAGAGAGAAAAUCAAGUUAAAGAUUGAAGUCAAUAGUACAAGUAUUGACAUUCUCUGCGAGCUCCAAGUUUGCUGGGCACAUGUCUACGGAGCACACGGUCCUUUUUGUUCCUGGGACUAGCAUUCAGGGUGAGCUCCGUACCUGUUGAAUGCAUGCCUGGGUGGCCUGUGGAGCACGUGACACUUCCUACGAGUUCCUUGGGUAUAUAUGAGGUGAGACUGCGACCUUCCCUAGGUCCCCGCGAGCUGGGUCUAUAACCCUAUCUUGCAAGCUGGUUUUGCGAGUUGUUCAAAGGUAAAUUAUGAAUAUGUAUCCAAUAAGAGGUCGCAGAAAAAUCUAUUUCUCCCAAAACAUUACAUGUCUUUCAUUCUUUUAACUCCAAAAAAUCCCCCCAUAACUAACCAUCACCCUUUCUUCUCAUCAUAUCUUCAAAUCUAAAAGAAAUACUAUAUUUAUUCCUCUCCUAUUGGAAAAUAUGGACAUUACAUAUAUAAUAAGAGUAAUUACGUGUUAUUAUUUACCAUCAUAAAAAAAUUAGCCCAAAUUAAAAGUGAUCUAAUUUAGUUAAGGUUUAUUGGGAAUUAGUUAUUAAAUAAAGUAUGGGUCAAAUAUGUGUAGAUACUCUAGUAACUAAUUUGUAAUUGAUGAUGGGUUGAUUAGAAAUUACGAUUAAUAUGCAAAAGCUAUAUGUUAGAGUUAUGGUCCCCAAAUUACACAUACGUAACUUUUCUAAUAUCAAAUCUUUAGAAAAAAGAGAGUCAGAUUCUUUGAAUUACUUGUGUGCUAAUUUGGAAGAUCAGGACCAUAAGAUCGAAGAUUCCAAUAAAUCAAUGGAUUUAGGUACACUUUCACAUGUAAUUUUGUUCUUGAUUUAUUAUUGAUAAUUUGACUUGACAAAUCUUGGUUUACAAUUUUAAGUUUAUAUCAGAUCUUGUUUUAUGAAUCUUACAAGUGGCAUCCGAGCCUCGUCAUGUUGAAUCAUUGAGAACAAAUUGAUUCUCUAUCAUUUUUUGAUUGAUUCAUUUUCAAAUUUUACAAUUUUAAUAUAUGGAUUUAAUUUUUCAAUUCUACACAUAUUAAAUGUAUGAUUUGUAUUUAUACACAUGAUAUCAAAGGGUGCUAAGCUGCUAACUAACUUCUGUAACUAUCUUUAACUACUAACUUCUUUAACCUUUCUUUAACAAACCAACUACUCAACUGCUACUACUCUAACAUUCUUCCGAUGUUCUGUUUUGUGUUGACCUCUUUGGUUGACUAUUUCUCAAAGGGAGGACUCGUAAGGCAUCUCGAAAGGAAGAAAACUUCUUUGGAGUGAUAGGUUUGGUGAGAACUUCUACAAUUUGGCUUGCUAAGGGCACAAAAUUGACAUGCAGGAUACCAUCAUGAACUUUCUUUCGGACAAAGUGAUGAUCAAUCUCCACCUUAACCUUAGCAUGAUGAGUUGGAUCGGCUGCUAUUGACACCGUGGAGGUGUUGUCACACCACACUACUGGAGUAUGUUGUAGAUGGACACCAACUUCAGUCAGCAGCUACUUCACCCAUAGUAGUUCAAUAAUACAAUUUGCGAGAUUGUGAUAUUCUGCUUCUUAGGAGGAUUUAGAAACAACAGUCUGCUUUUUGGAACACCAUUUAACUGGAUUGGAGCCAGGGUAAAUGCAGUAACCUGUGGUGGAUCGUCUGACUUCAAUAGUGGACGCCCAGUCAGCAUCAGAAUAACAGACCAUUUCAAAACAACCUUUGGUGAAGUAUAAGCUAUGAUCCAAAGUUCCAUUAAGAUAUCUCAACACACGCUUCACUACCUGCCAGUGAGUAUCCUUUGGAGAAUUCAUGUACUGACUCAGUUUGUUGACAUACAUACUGUAAAGUUCCAAUAAUGCUACGAUACAAAUAACCAUUAGGAAAUGGACUGCCAUAUGUUGCAGUCAGCUUGGGUGUAACUACCAUAGGUGUUACAUCAUAAUCCAAUCAUAUGAUGCAACUUAAUAUUAGUUAAAUAUUAAGUAAUCAAUGAGCUAAUAUUUUCUUUGUUCA